CAGAGGGGCUGCGAUUGAAGAGGAGGUGGGGCUUUCAGUGUUCAAAAGAGAUUAAAGGAGAAAUAUACUUCCAAAGAUUAAAAGACCCCCUCAAACAUAUCAAAUUGAGAUAAAACUCACCGUGGCCUAUAGAUCUAAGACUGGUCUCUGUUAACAAAUGCACCUCAGCAAACUCAGGACUUGAGAAGCCUUAGCCUUGGGGCUGCCCAGGGCUCUGCCACAGCUCAGAUGGAUACUUACUCAACCAGCAACUUAACUCUGUCAUUGGGCUGCUGCAUGUCACUGGAGGUCACCUUUCAUCUGGGAGAAGCAAAUGCCUUUUGUCUUCAGAGCUGAAAAAACUCAGUCUUUCAUUUACCUAUGAAAGCAACAGUUCAGUUCCUCAUGCAAAUGUGCACAGACAAGCUGAAUGGAGAUUAAUUUGGGGAGAAAAAGUAAGGGGAGAAAACCCCUUAGAAUGCAUCUCCGAACUAGAAUUCGGAUCCUUAAACAACAAUUGCGUAGGAGAAAAACAACAACAAUAACAACAGCCAAGACCACUUCCUGUAAACUGUGCUCUGCCACUCCUACUUUGCAGCUGUCAUGCACCAUUACACGUGCCAAGGUCAAAUCCUCUCACAGAACAAUGUAAUCUCUGGUAGUCUCAAAAUCAAAGAGUUCAGGUCAUGCAAUACAGGAAAACCGAACUUUAGACCUAAGAAGAACCUGCCUAUGACUCUUGAAAAUCCACACAGUAAACAGAACACCCCAAAAGUGAACAAGAAGUCUGCUUAGUGUGAGAAUGUAAAUCCCUUUCCAAACGUCAUUCUGAAAGAAGGCUAGAUUUGCUCCCUGGAAAGCAAGCAUUACCCAUUUCAAGCCAAAUAAAUGACAGUUAUGGAAAAGGCAGCCUGGAAACGACAUGAAUUUGGCUAUAUUUCAUCUCCACGAAUGCAAUGCUUCAUAAAUA
rnacentral:lncRNA from 10 species